GUGCCCCACCUUAUGUAAUUGGUUCUAUGGAAUUAUGUCACUCCAUUUUUACCAAAGAAUGUCUGUCAUAUUUCCAAAAAUUUAAACUGUAAAAAUUAAAUGUUAUUAAUUUAUGUAAACUAACAAUUCACAAUAUUUAUCUUUUAUUUUUAUAUUUUUAUCUACCAUCAAGAUAACAAUAAUUUGAACUCAUAACAACAUAUACAAUGACUACUGAGGAAUCAGAAAUGAAUUUAGAGACAAUAGAUGCGACUCCAUCUACAAGCUUGAGAUCAGCAGAGGAACGGAGGAGAGAUCUUUUACAAAAAUUGUGGUCAAAAUAUCCCACAGUUGAAGAGGACCCAAGCUUUCCCUUUAAUCCGCCAUCGCAACCUUCUUCGGCGUCAAACUCGGAAACAAUUGAAGAACUUACACUUCAAACCCGAUUAGGAAACACUGAUUGGUGUCAAUGUGGUAAUUGUCUGGCUAUGCCCACAGGAAGAGAGUCUUUAUGCUGCAAAGAAAUCGCUAAUGUAAAAGAAAAUAUUGAAGAGGGUACAGUCUGUAUAACCCAAUCUCCCAUUUUUCAAAGUUCGGUUGUAAACAGACUGAAUACAACAGUAAUAUUGACUAUUCUACACCAAUCAACAUCGCAUGCACCAAAUGCAGAUGA